GACGAACGCUGGCGGCGUGCUUAACACAUGCAAGUCGAGCGGUAAGGCCCUUUCGGGGGUACACGAGCGGCGAACGGGUGAGUAACACGUGGGUGACCUGCCCUCAGCUCUGGGAUAAGCCUGGGAAACUGGGUCUAAUACCGGAUAUGACUCCAUGACGCAUGUUGUGGGGUGGAAAGCCUUGUGCGGCUGAGGAUGGGCCCGCGGCCUAUCAGCUUGUUGGUGGGGUGANGGCCUACCAAGGCGACGACGGGUAGCCGGCCUGAGAGGGCGACCGGCCACACUGGGACUGAGACACGGCCCAGACUCCUACGGGAGGCAGCAGUGGGGAAUCUUGCGCAAUGGGCGAAAGCCUGACGCAGCGACGCCGCGUGAGGGAUGACGGCCUCGGUUGUAACGUAC
rnacentral:rRNA from 1 species